UACGUAGGGUGCAAGCGUUAAUCGGAAUUACUGGGCGUAAAGCGUGCGCAGGCGGCUUUGCAAGACAGAUGUGAAAUCCCCGGGCUCAACCUGGGGAACUGCAUUUGUGACUGCAAGGCUAGAGUACGGUAGAGGGGGAUGGAAUUCGCGUGUAGCAGUGAAAUGCGUAGAUAUGCGGAGGAACACCGAUGGCGAAGGCAAUCCCCUGGACCUGUACUGACGCUCAUGCACGAAAGCGUGGGGAGCAAACAGG
rnacentral:rRNA from 1 species